rnacentral:rRNA from 1 species
AACGAACGCUGGCGGCAUGCCUAACACAUGCAAGUCGAACGAGACCUUCGGGUCUAGUGGCGCACGGGUGCGUAACGCGUGGGAACCUGCCCUUAGGUUCGGAGUAACUCCCCGAAAGGGGUGCUAAUACCGGAUAAUGUCUUCGGACCAAAGAUUUAUCGCCUUUGGAUGGGCCCGCGUUGGAUUAGCUAGUUGGUAGGGUAAAAGCCUACCAAGGCGACGAUCCAUAGCUGGUCUGAGAGGAUGAUCAGCCACACUGGGACUGAGACACGGCCCAGACUCCUACGGGAGGCAGCAGUGGGGAAUAUUGGACAAUGGGUGAAAGCCUGAUCCAGCAAUGCCGCGUGAGUGAUGAAGGCCUUAGGGUUGUAAAGCUCUUUUACCCGGGAUGAUAAUGACAGUACCGGGAGAAUAAGCUCCGGCUAACUCCGUG